rnacentral:rRNA from 1 species
UGGGGAAUAUUGGACAAUGGGCGCAAGCCUGAUCCAGCCAUGCCGCGUGAGUGACGAAGGUCUUCGGAUUGUAAAGCUCUUUUUGCCAGGGACGAUAAUGACGGUACCUGGAGAAUAAGCCCCGGCUAACUUCGUGCCAGCAGCCGCGGUAAUACGAAGGGGGCUAGCGUUGUUCGGAAUUACUGGGCGUAAAGCGCACGUAGGCGGAUUUGUUAGUCAGGGGUGAAAUCCCGGGGCUCAACCUCGGAACUGCCUUUGAUACUGCAAGUCUCGAGUCCGAUAGAGGUGAGUGGAAUUCCUAGUGUAGAGGUGAAAUUCGUAGAUAUUAGGAAGAACACCAGUGGCGAAGGCGGCUCACUGGAUCGGUACUGACGCUGAGGUGCGAAAGCGUGGGGAGCAAACAGGAUUAGAUACCCCCGUAGUCCCUGAGCGGGCUGGCAAGGCGCAU